rnacentral:rRNA from 1 species
GACGAACGCUGGCGGCUUGCCUAAUACAUGCAAGUUGAGCGCUGAAGGUUGGUACUUGUACCAACUGGAUGAGCAGCGAACGGGUGAGUAACGCGUGGGGAAUCUGCCUUUGAGCGGGGGACAACAUUUGGAAACGAAUGCUAAUACCGCAUAAAAACUUUAAACACAAGUUUUAAGUUUGAAAGAUGCAAUUGCAUCACUCAAAGAUGAUCCCGCGUUGUAUUAGCUAGUUGGUGAGGUAAAGGCUCACCAAGGCGAUGAUACAUAGCCGACCUGAGAGGGUGAUCGGCCACAUUGGGACUGAGACACGGCCCAAACUCCUACGGGAGGCAGCAGUAGGGAAUCUUCGGCAAUGGACGAAAGUCUGACCGAGCAACGCCGCGUGAGUGAAGAAGGUUUUCGGAUCGUAAAACUCUGUUGGUAGAGAAGAACGUUGGUGAGAGUGGAAAGCUCAUCAAGUGACGGUAACUACCCAGAAAGGGACGGCUAACUACGU